AACAAGGUUUCCGUGGGGGACCCUGCGGAAGGAUCAUUA
rnacentral:rRNA from 1 species